UCCAGACUCCUACGGGAGGCAGCAGUGAGGAAUAUUGGUCAAUGGGCGCGAGCCUGAACCAGCCAAGUCGCGUGAGGGAUGACGGCCCUACGGGUUGUAAACCUCUUUUGUCGGGGAGCAAAUUCCGCCACGUGUGGCGGAGUCGAGAGUACCCGAAGAAAAAGCAUCGGCUAACUCCGUGCCAGCAGCCGCGGUAAUACGGAGGAUGCGAGCGUUAUCCGGAUUUAUUGGGUUUAAAGGGUGCGCAGGCGGAGGUGCAAGUCAGCGGUCAAAUUGCGGGGCUCAACCCCGUACUGCCGUUGAAACUGCAUCCCUUGAGUGCGCGAGAAGUAUGCGGAAUGCGUGGUGUAGCGGUGAAAUGCAUAGAUAUCACGCAGAACUCCGAUUGCGAAGGCAGCAUACCGGCGCGCAACUGACGCUCAUGCACGAAAGCGUGGGUAUCGAACAGGAUUAGAUACCC
rnacentral:rRNA from 1 species